AUUGAACGCUGGCGGCAGGCCUAACACAUGCAAGUCGAACGAGUGGCGGACGGGUGAAUAAUGUAUGUGAAACUGCCCGAUGGAGGGGGCUCACUACUGGAAACAGUAGCUAUUACCGCCUACCAGCGUAUGUGACUAGAUGGUAGGAGCUUGUAGGUGGGGUAACGGCUCACCUAGGCGACGAUCCCUAGCUGGUCUGAGAGGAUGACCAGCAACACUGGAACUGAGACACGGUCCAGACUCCGACGGGAGGCAGCAGUGGGGAAUAUUGCACAAUGGGCGCAAGCCUGAUGCAGCCAUGCCGCGUGUAUGAAGAAGGCCUUCGGGUUGUAAAGUACUUUCAGCGAGGAGGCGUUACUCGCAGAAGAAGCACCGGCUAACUCCGUGCCAGCAGCCGCGGUAAUAC
rnacentral:rRNA from 1 species